rnacentral:rRNA from 1 species
CAGUAGCCGCGGUAAUGCGUAGGGUGCGAGCGUUAAUCGGAAUUACUGGGCGUAAAGCGUGCGCAGGCGGUUGUGUAAGACAGGUGUGAAAUCCCCGGGCUUAACCUGGGAACUGCGCUUGUGACUGCACAGCUAGAGUAUGGCAGAGGGGGGUGGAAUUCCACGUGUAGCAGUGAAAUGCGUUGAGAUCGGAAAGAACACCAACGGCGAAAGCACUCUGCUGGGCCGACACUGACACUGAGAGACGAAAGCUAGGGGAGCAAAUGGGAUUAGAUACCCGCGUAGUCCCUGUCUCUUAUAC